rnacentral:rRNA from 1 species
UCAAGUGAAGAAGCGCAUACGGUGGAUGCCUUGGCAGUCAGAGGCGAUGAAAGACGUGGUAGCCUGCGAAAAGCUUCGGGGAGUCGGCAAACAGACUUUGAUCCGGAGAUCUCUGAAUGGGGGAACCCACCUAGGAUAACCUAGGUAUCUUGUACUGAAUCCAUAGGUGCAAGAGGCGAACCAGGGGAACUGAAACAUCUAAGUACCCUGAGGAAAAGAAAUCAACCGAGAUUCCCUUAGUAGUGGCGAGCGAACGGGGAUUAGCCCUUAAGCUUCAUUGAUUUUAGCGGAACGCUCUGGAAAGUGCGGCCAUAGUGGGUGAUAGCCCCGUACGCGAAAGGAUCUUUGAAGUGAAAUCGAGUAGGACGGAGCACGAGAAACUUUGUCUGAACAUGGGGGGACCAUCCUCCAAGGCUAAAUACUACUGACUGACCGAUAGUGAACCAGUACCGUGAGGGAAAGGCGAAAAGAACCCCGGAGAGGGGAGUGAAAUAGAACCUGAAACCGUAUGCGUACAAGCAGUGGGAGCCUACUUGUUAGGUGACUGCGUACCUUUUGUAUAAUGGGUCAGCGACUUAUAUUCAGUGGCAAGCUUAACCGUAUAGGGUAGGCGUAGCGAAAGCGAGUCUUAAUAGGGCGUUUAGUCGCUGGGUAUAGACCCGAAACCGGGCGAUCUAUCCAUGAGCAGGUUGAAGGUUAGGUAACACUGACUGGAGGACCGAACCCACUCCCGUUGAAAAGGUAGGGGAUGACUUGUGGAUCGGAGUGAAAGGCUAAUCAAGCUCGGAGAUAGCUGGUUCUCCUCGAAAGCUAUUUAGGUAGCGCCUCAUGUAUCACUCUGGGGGGUAGAGCACUGUUUCGGCUAGGGGGUCAUCCCGACUUACCAAACCGAUGCAAACUCCGAAUACCCAGAAGUGCCGAGCAUGGGAGACACACGGCGGGUGCUAACGUCCGUCGUGAAAAGGGAAACAACCCAGACCGCCAGCUAAGGUCCCAAAGUUGUGGUUAAGUGGUAAACGAUGUGGGAAGGCUUAGACAGCUAGGAGGUUGGCUUAGAAGCAGCCACCCUUUAAAGAAAGCGUAAUAGCUCACUAGUCGAGUCGGCCUGCGCGGAAGAUGUAACGGGGCUCAAACCACACACCGAAGCUGCGGGUGUCACGUAAGUGACGCGGUAGAGGAGCGUUCUGUAAGCCUGUGAAGGUGAGUUGAGAAGCUUGCUGGAGGUAUCAGAAGUGCGAAUGCUGACAUGAGUAACGACAAUGGGUGUGAAAACCCCCCACGCCGAAAGACCAAGGGUUCCUGCGCAACGUUAAUCGACGCAGGGUUAGUCGGUUCCUAAGGCGAGGCUGAAAAGCGUAGUCGAUGGGAAACAGGUUAAUAUUCCUGUACUUCUGGUUACUGCGAUGGAGGGACGGAGAAGGCUAGGCCAGCUUGGCGUUGGUUGUCCAAGUUUAAGGUGGUAGGCUGAAAUCUUAGGUAAAUCCGGGGUUUCAAGGCCGAGAGCUGAUGACGAGUCGUCUUUUAGAUGACGAAGUGGUUGAUGCCAUGCUUCCAAGAAAAGCUUCUAAGCUUCAGGUAACCAGGAACCGUACCCCAAACCGACACAGGUGGUCGGGUAGAGAAUACCAAGGCGCUUGAGAGAACUCGGGUGAAGGAACUAGGCAAAAUGGCACCGUAACUUCGGGAGAAGGUGCGCCGGCUAGGGUGAAGGAUUUACUCCGUAAGCUCUGGCUGGUCGAAGAUACCAGGCCGCUGCGACUGUUUAUUAAAAACACAGCACUCUGCAAACACGAAAGUGGACGUAUAGGGUGUGACGCCUGCCCGGUGCCGGAAGGUUAAUUGAUGGGGUUAGCGCAAGCGAAGCUCUUGAUCGAAGCCCCGGUAAACGGCGGCCGUAACUAUAACGGUCCUAAGGUAGCGAAAUUCCUUGUCGGGUAAGUUCCGACCUGCACGAAUGGCGUAACGAUGGCGGCGCUGUCUCCACCCGAGACUCAGUGAAAUUGAAAUCGCUGUGAAGAUGCAGUGUAUCCGCGGCUAGACGGAAAGACCCCGUGAACCUUUACUGUAGCUUUGCACUGGACUUUGAGCCUGCUUGUGUAGGAUAGGUGGGAGGCUUUGAAGCGUGGACGCCAGUUCGCGUGGAGCCAUCCUUGAAAUACCACCCUGGCAUGCUUGAGGUUCUAACUCUGGUCCGUGAUCCGGAUCGAGGACAGUGUAUGGUGGGCAGUUUGACUGGGGCGGUCUCCUCCUAAAGAGUAACGGAGGAGUACGAAGGUGCGCUCAGACCGGUCGGAAAUCGGUCGUAG